AAUUGAUAAUCUGAUAUAACUCAGUAUCAAGAACAAAAUCUUAAUCCGUAACAAGAACAGAAACAGAGUAGAGCUUUUAUAAGAAGUUAACAAAAGUCUCAUUUAUUCAGAAAGUACAUGAAUAACAAAAGGAUCAUACAAGUAUGUAUCCUUUCCUUUCUUCUUGGGAGAGCAAAAUCGCAAUUUGACGACAACCCAAUUAAAAAUAUAUCAACUAGUAUCUUUUGAGUGGAAGUUACGGAACCCACUUCCGAGUUAUCUUGAAAAAAAUGUGGGAAAAAUAGAGGUACACAUCUGUAGACCAGCGUGGUGUGAAUCAUGUAUACCACCUAUCUCGAGGAGUGAUGAAUGACUCAAUCCAAUUUUGAAA
rnacentral:lncRNA from 1 species